rnacentral:rRNA from 1 species
ACGAACGCUGGCGGCGUGCUUAACACCUGCCAGUCGCACGGAAAGGCCCUGCUUUUGUGGGGUGCUCGAGUGGCGAACGGGUGAGUAACACGUGAGUAACCUGCCCUUGACUUUGGGAUAACUUCAGGAAACUGGGGCUAAUACCGGAUAGGAGCUCCUGCUGCAUGGUGGGGGUUGGAAAGUUUCGGCGGUUGGGGAUGGACUCGCGGCUUAUCAGCUUGUUGGUGGGGUAGUGGCUUACCAAGGCUUUGACGGGUAGCCGGCCUGAGAGGGUGACCGGCCACAUUGGGACUGAGAUACAGCCCAGACUCCUACGGGAGGCAGCAGUGGGGAAUAUUGCACAAUGGGCGGAAGCCUGAUGCAGCAACGCCGCGUGCGGGAUGAAGGCCUUCGGGUUGUAAACCGCUUUCGCCUGUGACGAAGCGUGAGUGACGGUAAUGGGUAAAGAAGCACCGGCUAACUACGUG